GAUGAACGCUGGCGGCGUGCCUAAUACAUGCAAGUCGAGCGAACAGAUAAGGAGCUUGCUCCUUUGACGUUAGCGGCGGACGGGUGAGUAACACGUGGGUAACCUACCUAUAAGACUGGGAUAACUUCGGGAAACCGGAGCUAAUACCGGAUAAUAUUUCGAACCGCAUGGUUCGAUAGUGAAAGAUGGUUUUGCUAUCACUUAUAGAUGGACCCGCGCCGUAUUAGCUAGUUGGUAAGGUAACGGCUUACCAAGGCGACGAUACGUAGCCGACCUGAGAGGGUGAUCGGCCACACUGGAACUGAGACACGGUCCAGACUCCUACGGGAGGCAGCAGUAGGGAAUCUUCCGCAAUGGGCGAAAGCCUGACGGAGCAACGCCGCGUGAGUGAUGAAGGUCUUCGGAUCGUAAAACUCUGUUAUUAGGGAAGAACAUACGUGUAAGUAACUGUGCACGUCUUGACGGUACCUAGUCAGAAAGCCACGGCUAACUACGUG
rnacentral:rRNA from 1 species